ensembl:lncRNA
GGGCUGCCUUUUGGGUGGAGAAAGGUGCUCCUAGUCUGGGUGCACUAGCUUCAUGUUCCCUGCCUCCCAGGUUGUCUGUGGAACUACUGAUUAUUCCAGGCAUGAGACAAGGGGAUAACAAAGCCCUUUUUUGGAAUGACAUUUUUUUUCUCUCUGAGUGGGUAGAAAUGGAGUAUGUCCAGGAGUGGGGCAUAUCUUAUUGAUAAUAGGAACAACUUUCCAGAAAGAACUGGGAGACUGGCAAGAGGCGAGAGCAAAUGCAAGCUUGUGGUGUCACUUGGAGAGAAGAGGGACUUCCGGCUUUGUGCAUAGGAUAGAAAAGCCGGAGGAGAGGCUGGGUGUCUCUGCUCUUCCGGUGCCUGUGCCUGUAUGUUUCUGCCUGUGAGUGUGUAUGUGACUUUGUACAUGCCCAUACAUAAGUGUGAGAGUGCUGUAUGAAUGUGUACAAACACAUUUGUGAGUUUGCAUGGACACAUGUGUAUAGAUAUGUAGCACUCUACGUAUGCAUCUAGGUAUUCAUGUGACUAUAAAGGCAAUUACCUAAUUAAACCUGCUGGGGGGGUGGGGUGCUCACUCAUACGUAUAUGUGAACGUAAGUGUGCAUGUGAGCAUGUACGUGGCAGCACAUGAAUGAACAGCCUAUGAAUAUAUGUAUAUAAGUCGUCACCGCGUAAAUAGAUGUGACAGAAAGGAUGAAAGAGAGAGAUUCUGGCUAAACCCUGGGGCCGUUCAAAAGUUGUUUUCACACAGGCUUGAACUCGAUCCACUCUGAUGCCUGUAGCUCUUCUCCAAAAAUCAGGCUCCUUGAGGCCUCUCAGAUUAUCUUUCAUGGGGCCUCACUCUUCCCCACACCAUCCAUAUGAAGGGAGUUUGCAGAGGAGAAACCUGUUUAGGCCUUGGGGACAGCUGAGUAAGGGAGCUGAGCUCAAGGCUGAUCAAAUGCUAUGGUGCCCAGGAGUGUAUAUGGGGAAAGAGUUUGAGAGCUUGAACAUUAACAUUACUACUGAGGUUUCAAGAAUCAAACAGGACAGUCUGGGCUCAGUGGAUGAAAAGGGCAGGGAUUUUAUGGAGGUCCACGUGUGUGUAUCAGCCUGUGCACACAUGUACAUGUGUUUGUGUAGAUGUAUAUGUGUACAUCACUUGUCUUUGCCUUAAUAUGCAUAACUCAACAUAAAUGCACUUUCUAAUGUGUACAUAUGAAAAAAUCUACAGGAAUAUACCUACCCAAAGAGGGAUUUGUUGAUGUAAACAUAGAUGCUAACGCUCAUAUGUAUAUAGACAGAGUAUGCAAAAUAUGUAUGCAUUUACUAAAUAUGUAGGCAUUUGCUACAAUUGGGCUUCCCAGGUGGUGCUAGUAACAAAGAAUUCAGGGAUUGAACCCAGGUCUCCUGCAUUGCCGGCAGAUUCUUCACCGUCUGAGCCAGUGGGGAAGCAGAAUCAUGCCUUUCCCAUGGCUUUCCAUUUCAGAGUGAAAUCCUGAGUGCUUGCUUGGUAGGCCCUGAGUGACAGAAGUGCUGUGUGUAAAGUAGCCUCCAGUGACCUCCCUGAUUGCAAGUUCCUUCCCUGCAAGUGCUUCCUUUCGGUUCCACAGAGACGCUGAGCUGAGCACAGCCUCAUCUCUGGGCUGCUGCUUUCCCCUCAGCCUGAAGUGCUCUCCCCCCAGGUACCCGCGUGACUUGCUCCUUCACUUGAUUCAAGUCUUCGCUCAAAAGUCACUUUUUUGGAGAGGCCUCCCCCACAGUCUAUCUUAAAUAGCCCCCUUGUCAUGCUGUCCUCUCACCUCAAAAAAAAAAAUUUCAGCACUUACCACCUCCAUUAUUUCAUGCAUUUGCUCAGCAUCUCCUUUUCCACUAGGAUAUAAACUUCAUGAAAAUGGAGCAGGAAGAGAUCUGGUGUUGCUCUGGCACGCACUGUGUUCCGAGAAGUGCCUGGCUCAGAGGCACUCACUACGUACAGACCUUAGGUACAUCACAGUGGCAGGCAGUGAGGAGAGUGGAUGGGGCUGGGCCAAGAUACAAGGUGGGGAGACCAGUCAGGAGCCCGCUGGAAGAGCUUUGGUGGAAAUUUAGGAUGAGGGCGGCCUGAUGGAGAACAUCAGGAGUGGAGGUGGCGAAAGGGAGAUACAGUGUACACAACACACGCAUGGAUGCACACACAGGCCCACGUGUACACACAUAUUAUAGUUUAGCCAGUCACAUCUACUGUCUUAGUCAAAGGAAGCUAAGGAAGAAAGUAAAGAUGUCUUUAUAUGUUAAUAUGGUAUGGAUGCCAUGAGCACCAAGUGACAAGCUGGACAUCCUCCAGCUAGCCCUGGCUGAUGCUCUCCACACAUCCGCCUACCUCUGUCAACCGG